rnacentral:misc_RNA from 1 species
UAUGAGGAGUUAGUGGCACAGGU